rnacentral:rRNA from 1 species
CCCUUAGACGUUCUGGGCCGCACGCGCGCUACACUGACCAGUGCAACAAGCAUCCGUCCUUGGCCGACAGGCUCGGGCAAUCUUUGAACGCUGGUCGUGAUGGGGAUAGACUUUUGCAAUUUUUGGUCUUCAACGAGGAAUUCCUAGUAAACGCAAGUCAUCAACUUGCAUUGAUUACGUCCCUGCCCUUUGUACACACCGCCCGCCGCACCUACCGAUUGAAUGGUCCGGUGAAGCCUCCGGAUUGGCGCGCACCUCGGUGCCGCCGAGAAGUUGGCUAAACCUUACCAUUUAGAGGAAGGUGAAGUCGUANCA